rnacentral:lncRNA from 1 species
UGAGGCUGGCGGCCAGGAUGCCCACCGUGAUCAUGAGCUGAAAUCCGAUGUUGAGCAUGCCACGGAGCUUCGCCGGCGCCAUCUCCGACAGGUACACCGGCACCGACUGCAUCAUUUUGUCCAGACCAAACCCAUAAGACCAUCUUGUUAACAUCAAACGUCACAUCCCACCGUGAUACAAUUCCAAUCACUCGAUAAAAUCCAUUAUAUAAACAACGAACAUCAAAUUUCAACUCAGUAUGUAAAAGAUACUAUAGUAACAAGAUUUAUUGGUUCACAGUCAUUAAAAGGUCGCUUCAGGAGAGGAAGAGUGAUAAAAAGGAAGCAGAGAGGUGGUGAUGCGAGAAGCAAGAACAUGGGAGGGAGGCCUCAUCGUGCCAUGCAAUAAGAACAAUUAUGGACCAUAGGAUUCCCCUCUUGUCUUAUCUACACUUAUCCUCCUCUUGUGGCCAAUUACAUAUGGAGAUAUCUACUUUUGACUUUUCCUCCUCCGUCCCAUAAGCCAAGAAGAAAAGAGGAAGAAAGCUCGGUUAUCCCGAAGACAGUGACCAUAUCAAAACAGUGUGAGGUGAGAGAGCUGUUUCCUAUGAGCGAUGAGAUGAUAGAAGUCCAUGAGAAAUACAAACAACGAUUCAACCACUCCGUCUUUUAUUCUACGACGGAUGGAUUUAUUUAUGGCACGUAAUGCAAAAUAGUCAACAUAGUGGAGCAGCGUUUGGUUGACUGGGAGUCACAGCGGGACCCACCGAGCCAAG